GACGAACGCUGGCGGCGUGCUUAACACAUGCAAGUCGAGCGGUAAGGCCCUUUCGGGGGUACGACGAGCGGCGAACGGGUAGAGUAACACGUGGGUGACCUGCCCUCAGCUCUGGGAGUAAGCCUGGGAAACCGGGUACUAAUACCGGAUAUGACUCCAUGACGCAUGGUUGUGGGGUGGAAAGCCUUGUGCGGCUGAGGAUGGGCCCGCGGCCUAUCAGCUUGUUGGUGGGGUGAUGGCCUACCAAGGCGACGAC
rnacentral:rRNA from 1 species